rnacentral:rRNA from 1 species
CACGUAGGGCGCAAGCGUUGUCCGGAAUUAUUGGGCGUAAAGAGCUCGUAGGCGGUCUGUUGCGUCUGCUGUGAAAACUCGGGGCUUAACCCCGAGCCUGCAGUGGAUACGGGCAGACUAGAGGUAGGUAGGGGAGAAUGGAAUUCCUGGUGUAGCGGUGGAAUGCGCAGAUAUCAGGAGGAACACCGGUGGCGAAGGCGGGUCUCUGGGCAGUAACUGACGCUGAGGAGCGAAAGCAUGGGGAGCGAACAGG